GUGAGGAAUAUUGGUCAAUGGAGGCAACUCUGAACCAGCCAUGCCGCGUGCAGGAAGACGGUCCUAUGGAUUGUAAACUGCUUUUAUUUAGGAAUAAACCCCCGGUCGUGCACCGGGGCUGAAUGUACUAAAAGAAUAAGCACCGGCUAACUCCGUGCCAGCAGCCGCGGUAAUACGGAGGGUGCAAGCGUUAUCCGGAAUCAUUGGGUUUAAAGGGUCCGCAGGCGGGUAAAUAAGUCAGAGGUGAAAUCCGGCAGCUCAACUGUCGCACUGCCUUUGAUACUGUUUAUCUUGAAUUUUAGUGGAGUGGGCGGAAUAUGUCAUGUAGCGGUGAAAUGCUUAGAUAUGACGUGGAACACCGAUAGCGAAGGCAGCUCACUAACUAUGAAUUGACGCUCAUGGACGAAAGCGUGGGUAGCAAACAGGAUUAGAAACCCCAGUAGUCC
rnacentral:rRNA from 1 species